AUGGACCCCAGAAGGGACGCAACUGCUAGCUCUGCGCCCCAGAGAGCCAUGCAUGCGCCAUUGGUUUUGUCGUCCACCGCUCCUCCCAGUGUUCCAGAGUACCUUGCUCGUUGCUUCGUUGAAUUGCUUGGCUGGUGCUCGCAAUUGCGUGGUUUGGUUUCAUUUGACUUAGCACUGAAUCCCUCAAUUUACCAUUCAGUGAACAAUCCUCUCAUGGUGGCCAUGAACUCAAUAAAUCAUCAGGAAAUGCCUUUGCUGCAGCUCACCUAUGGCCUUGUUUGUCCUGCAGGGAGCAUGCAGGGAGCCUCGCGGCCGCUACCACAACCAGAUGUCCUCGCGUCGUCGCCGCCUCCGAGUUUGUCGGCCGCUGGCGCCCGUCCUCCCCUUUAUUUUCGAGGCCUCCGAUGUAUAAAAUUCCAUGGCCGAGCCGCUCGCCUCCGUCCCCAUGAUGCCCGUGGCCACAACCGCCGCGGCUGCACUCUGCACCGCGCCCCCGCCUCGUUCGACCUCCUGUCGCCGCCCCGCCCCUCCUUUCUCCCUUGUUCUCUCCCUCACCUCCCUGACUUCUUUCUGCCCAGGAGCCGCGACUGCCCGGCAAGCCGCGCUCCGGCCUUGCUUGUCAUCACCGGCAACCCCGCCUUCGGAUCCGCCUCCCUCGCCCAUGCUACGCAUGGAUCCGGCCGUGCAAGCUCUAGUCCCACCACCGUUCUGCACCCUACAGCACAGGCAGCCAACCAUCUCGUCUGGCUCUUUCACAUGCCUAGGAGCAGGGAUUUGGGGUCAUGUCCGGGCGUGUCCUGGGAUGCGGUGGCCGUGCGCCCAGCGCGCGGCCGCAUCCUUUUGCCCUAUCCUGUCCGCGUCUAUUUAAAAAAAGAAACGUUUCAAAUGCCAAGCCCUAGUUCACGAUCCCAGUUCAUCACGCCGGCAACAAAGCCAGCGGCCUACACAUCCAUCGCCGGCAUCGGCCAGCGGCCGGCAACACAGCCAGCCUCCAAAAUGAAUAGUUGUCCUCGCCGGCAACACAGCCGGUCUCCAAAAUGA
rnacentral:rRNA from 1 species